GACGAACGCUGGCGGCGUGCUUAACACAUGCAAGUCGAACGGAGUGGCGAACGGGUGAGUAACACGUGGGUGAUCUGCCUUGCACUUCGGGAUAAGCUUGGGAAACUGGGUCUAAUACCGGAUAGUGCAAGAUGAGCUCGCGGCCUAUCAGCUUGUUGGUUGGGUAAUGGCCUACCAAGGCGUCGACGGGUAGCCGGCCUGAGAGGGUGUACGGCCACAUUGGGACUGAGAGACGGCCCAGACGCGUACGGGAGGCAGCGGGGGGAAAUAUGGCACAAUGGGCGGAAGUCUGUUGAGGCGACGCCGGGUGGGGAAUGAAGGCCUUGGGGUUGUAAACGCCUUUCGACAGGGACGCGGUACCUGUAGAAGAAGCACCGGCUAACUACGUGCCAGCAGCCGCGGUAAUUC
rnacentral:rRNA from 1 species